rnacentral:rRNA from 1 species
GACGAACGCUGGCGGCGCGCUUAACACAUGCAAGUCGAGCGAGAACCCUCCUUCGGGAGGGGGACAGCGGCGAACGGGUGAGUAACACGUGGGUAAUCUGCCCUCGACAUCGGGAUAGCCCGGGGAAACCGAUUAAUACCGGAUAGCCUCUCCGGCCUUCGGGCUGGAAAGAAAAGGUAGCUUCGGCCUCCGGUCGAGGAGGAGCCCGCGGCGGAUUAGCUUGUUGGCGGGGUAACGGCCCACCAAGGCGACGAUCCGUAGCUGGUCUGAGAGGACGAUCAGCUACACUGGGACUGAGACACGGCCCAGACUCCUACGGGAGGCAGCAGUGGGGAAUCUUGCGCAAUGGGCGAAAG